rnacentral:rRNA from 1 species
AUUGAACGCUGGCGGCAUGCCUUACACAUGCAAGUCGAACGGUAACGGGCCUUCGGGUGCCGACGAGUGGCGAACGGGUGAGUAAUGCAUCGGAACGUACCUUUCAGUGGGGGAUAACGUAGCGAAAGUUACGCUAAUACCGCAUAUUCUGUGAGCAGGAAAGCAGGGGAUCGCAAGACCUUGCGCUGAUUGAGCGGCCGAUGUCAGAUUAGCUAGUUGGUGAGGUAAAGGCUCACCAAGGCGACGAUCUGUAGCGGGUCUGAGAGGAUGAUCCGCCACACUGGAACUGAGACACGGUCCAGACUCCUACGGGAGGCAGCAGUGGGGAAUUUUGGACAAUGGGGCAACCCUGAUCCAGCCAUGCCGCGUGAGUGAAGAAGGCCUCGG